UGGUUAGCAGGUCAGGGUUUCUUUGAAAGGCAAUGAAAAUGUUCUAAAAUCAACUGUGGUGAUGGAUGAAAACUCUGUGAAUAUACGGAAAGCAAAUAACUAUAUACUUUACACAAGUGAAUUGUAUAGUACGUGAAUUAUAUCUCAAUAAGGCCCUUAAAAAUACUAAACAAAUCCAGAGAAGUUAUAUAAAACUGCUCAAGUCGCAAAACUGUUAUGGUAGUACAACUGAACCUGGUGGUGUUUUUUUUUUUUAAUUCCCAAAUCCCAGGACUUUGAUUCUGGUCAUCUGACUCAUCUAUGGAUAUGUCCACCACAGCAUGAGGAGAGAGGAGGAUGUUUGUGUGCAUGUGCUGCCCUUGUGAAAGGCUGGGUGCUAACGAUGCAGAGAGCAGAGCGGACUUUUUGGACACCUCUGUCGAUCCACUAUGGAGUCACCAACAGCCAUGACAGUUAUAUCAAGUACUAUAUCAAGACUGAGGUACGAGGACGUAAUGGGGCUUAUUCUCCUAAUAAACCUGGCAUUGUGGAAGGACUCCUUCUGGGGAUGUUCCCUUGCUCCAGUGUUCUCAUAUUUUCAAUACUAGGAAAGGAUGUGAACACAGCUGUCCGGUCCUCUUGAAAUAGCUCACACACUGCCAUCAUGAUGAGGUUUGGGGGUUACAGUCUGUGACCUUAGAAAAGGGUCCUUGUUUAACAGUGGC